AACGAACGCUGGCGGCAGGCUUAACACAUGCAAGUCGAGCGCGUAGCAAUACGAGCGGCAGACGGGUGAGUAACACGUGGGAAUCUACCCAUCACUAGGGAAUAACUCAGGGAAACUUGUGCUAAUACACUAUACGACCGAGAGGUGAAAGAUUUAUCGGUGAUGGAUGAGCCCGCGUUGGAUUAGCUAGUUGGUGGGGUAAAGGCCUACCAAGGCGACGAUCCAUAGCUGGUCUGAGAGGAUGAUCAGCCACACUGGGACUGAGACACGGCCCAGACUCCUACGGGAGGCAGCAGUGGGGAAUAUUGGACAAUGGGCGCAAGCCUGAUCCAGCCAUGCCGCGUGAGUGAUGAAGGUCUUAGGAUUGUAAAGCUCUUUCACCGGUGAAGAUAAUGACGGUAACCGGAGAAGAAGCCCCGGCUAACUUCGUGCCAGCAGCCGCCGUAA
rnacentral:rRNA from 1 species